rnacentral:rRNA from 1 species
AAUGAACGCUGGCGGCAGGCCUAACACAUGCAAGUCGAGCGGAGCGGCGGACGGGUGAGUAAUGCCUAGGAAUCUGCCCGGCAGUGGGGGAUAACGUCAGGAAACGGGCGCUAAUACCGCAUACUAUCAGAUGAGCCUAGCUCGGAUUAGCUAGUUGGUGUGGUAAAGGCCUACCAAGGCGACGAUCCGUAACUGUGCUGAGAGGAUGGUCAGUCAAACUGGAACAUAGACACGGUGCAGACUCCUACGGGAGGCAGCAGUUGGGAAUAUUGAACGAUAGGCGGACGCCUGAUCCAGCCAUGGCGCGUGUGUGAAGACGGUCUACGGAUUUUAAAGCGCUUUCAGCGGGGAGGCGUUACCCGCGUAAGAAGCACCGGCUAACUCCGUGCCAGCCGCCGCGGUAAUAC